GACGAACGCUGGCGGCGUGCUUAACACAUGCAAGUCGAACGGAAAGGCCCUGCUUUUGUGGGGUGCUCGAGUGGCGAACGGGUGAGUAACACGUGUGUAACCUGCCCUUGACUUUGGGAUAACUUCAGGUAACUGGGGCUACUAUCGGAUAGGAGCUCAUGCUGCAUGGUGGGGGUUGGAAAGUUUCGGCGGGUGGGGAUGGACUCGCGGCUUAUCAGCUUGUUGGUGGGGUAGUGGCUUACCAAGGCUUUGACGGGUCGCCGGCAUGAGAGGGUGACCGGCCACAAUGGGACUAAGAGAGGGCGCAGACUCCAACGGUGGGCAACAGUGGGGAAUAUUGCACAAUGGGCGGAAGCCUGAUGCAGCAGCGCCGCGGGCGGGAUGACGGCCUGCUGGUUGUGAACCGCUGUCGCCUGUGACGAAGCGGGAGUGACGGUAAUGGGUAAAGAAGCACCGGCUAACUACGUG
rnacentral:rRNA from 1 species